GACGAACGCUGGCGGCGUGCUUAACACAUGCAAGUCGAACGGAAAGGCCCUGCUUUCGUGGGGUGCUCGAGUGGCGAACGGGUGAGUAACACGUGAGUAACCUGCCCUUGACUUUGGGAUAACUUCAGGAAACUGGGGCUAAUACCGGACAGGAGAUCCUGCUGCAUGGUGGGGGUUGGAAAGUUUCGGCGGUUGGGGUUGGACUCGCGGCUUAUCAGCUAGUUGGUGGGGUAGUGGCUGACCAAGGCUUUGACGGGUAGCCGGCCCGAGAGGGUGAACGGCCACAUGGGGACUACGAUACGGACCAGACUCCUACGGGAGGCAGCAGUGGGGAAUAUUGCACAAUGGGCGGAAGCGUGAUGAAGCAACGCUGCGUGCGGGAAGACCGUCUUCGGGGUGUAAACAGCUUCCGCCUGUGACGAAGCGUGUGUGACGGUAAUGGGUAAAUAAGCACCGGCUAACUACGUG
rnacentral:rRNA from 1 species